rnacentral:rRNA from 1 species
AACGAACGCUGGCGGCAGGCUUAACACAUGCAAGUCGAACGCCCCGCAAGGGGAGUGGCAGACGGGUGAGUAACGCGUGGGAAUCUACCCAGAUCUUCGGAACAACUGAGGGAAACUUCAGCUAAUACCGGAUACGCCCUACGGGGGAAAGAUUUAUCGGUUCUGGAUGAGCCCGCGUUGGAUUAGCUAGUUGGUGAGGUAACGGCUCACCAAGGCGACGAUCCAUAGCUGGUCUGAGAGGAUGAUCAGCCACACUGGGACUGAGACACGGCCCAGACUCCUACGGGAGGCAGCAGUGGGGAAUAUUGGACAAUGGGCGAAAGCCUGAUCCAGCCAUGCCGCGUGAGUGAUGAAGGCCUUAGGGUUGUAAAGCUCUUUCAGUGGGGAAGAUAAUGACGGUACCCACAGAAGAAGCCCCGGCUAACUUCGUGCCAGCCGCCGCGGUAACAC